UACGUAGGGUGCAAGCGUUGUCCGGAAUUAUUGGGCGUAAAGAGCUCGUAGGCGGUCUGUCGCGUCGGCUGUGAAAACCUGGGGCUCAACUCCGGGCGUGCAGCCGAUACGGGCAGACUAGAAUUCGGUAGGGGAGACUGGAAUUCCUGGUGUAGCGGUGAAAUGCGCAGAUAUCAGGAGGAACACCGGUGGCGAAGGCGGGUCUCUGGACCGACACUGACGCUGAGGUGCGAAAGCGUGGGGAGCAAACAGG
rnacentral:rRNA from 1 species